CAGAAGCCUUCUUUCCUUCUCCGCGAGCUAGACCCCAAUUAAGCAAUUGCAGCUCCCAUUCUGGUUCUUCUCCCCCGAUCAGCAACAUCCUUUCCCUUUCCCAAUUAUGGUUCUUCUCUCCCCGAUCUAGGUUUUUUACACAGAAGAGUCUCAACGAUCAACCUCUCCCCGAUCUAGGUCAAGAAGACACUGUUGGUGUAGUUCUUCGAUCUGAUUUUACAAAGUAUACUGUUGUUGCACGGAUUUCUGGUCAAGGAGAGGAGUGAAGGAGAAAUGGGUUCUGCACUCAGACGAGUUUGCCAUGAGAUCCACCAACCAAUCGUUCCUCAAAAGCGGCCUCUAUAAAACCCAACAAAAGGGAAAUAUUUGGGUUUUGAUUUGAUUGGGUUUAUGUUACGUUUCUGUUAAUUUGAUAGGGUUUUCAUAUUAUGUGAACUUUCACAGGUUUUAGUCUAAUUUUGGCUUUAUAAAUCAUCUAAAUGCUUUCGAUGUCAGGAUGCUGGUUUUGUACCAAAUGGAAUUGGGAGCAAAGGAAUCAACCUGUGUGAAUUUUAAUCCCAGCAGCAAGGAGUAUAUGCACGGAGUAGCAAUAAGAUUUCGGUCAUGUGAAGCCUCUUUCCUCCAUAAACCCUUUGUUUUGGGAUGUAAUUUUAACCGAUCUGCAUGUUUCCAUUUGUCAGUCCUGCCUGUCAAAGAUUCGAAGCCUCGUCUUUGUUGAGA